GACGAACGCUGGCGGCGUGCUUAACACAUGCAAGUCGAACGGUGAAGGGACCAGCUUGCUGGUUCUGGAUGAGUGGCGAACGGGUGAGUAACACGUGAGUAACCUGCCCCCUUCUUCUGGAUAACCGCAUGAAAGUGUGGCUAAUACGGGAUAUUCUGGGUCUGUCGCAUGGCGGGCCCGGGAAAGAUAUUGUUUCGGUGGGGGAUGGGCUCGCGGCCUAUCAGCUUGUUGGUGGGGUGCUGGCGUAGCAAGACGGGGACGGGGAGCCGUCGGGAGGGGGGGGACGGUCACACUUGGACUGAGACACGGCCCAGACUCCUACGGGAGGCAGCAGUGGAGAAUAUUGCACAAUGGGCGCAAGCCUGAUGCAGCGACGCCGCGUGAGGGAUGGAGGCCUUCGGGUUGUAAACCUCUUUCGCCAGUGAAGCAGGCCUGCUCCUUGUGGGUGGGUUGACGGUAGCUGGAUAAGAAGCGCCGGCUAACUACGUG
rnacentral:rRNA from 1 species